rnacentral:rRNA from 1 species
UGGGGAAUUUUGGACAAUUGGGGAAACCCUGAUUCAGCCAUCCCGCGUGUGCGAUGAAGGCCUUCGGGUUGUAAAGCACUUUUGGCAGGAAAGAAACGUCAUGGGUUAAUACCCCGUGAAACUGACGGUACCUGCAGAAUAAGCACCGGCUAACUACGUGCCAGCAGCCGCGGUAAUACGUAGGGUGCAAGCGUUAAUCGGAAUUACUGGGCGUAAAGCGUGCGCGGGCGGUUCGGAAAGAAAGAUGUGAAAUCCCAGAGCUCAACUUUGGAAAUGCAUUUUUAACUACCGGGCUAGAGUGUGUCAGAGGGAGGUUGAAUUCCGCGUGUAGCAGUGAAAUGCGUAGAUAUGCGGAGGAACACCGAUGACGAAGGCAGCCUCCUGUGAUAACACUGACGCUCAUGCACGAAAGCGUGGGGAGCAAACAGG